GGGGUAGUCAGAGUGGGGUUUAGAAAACCAUGCCCAUCAUUGACAGCCUUACGCACCUGAGGUAUCCUUGGAGCGCGUCCGGGUGGGACCGGCGCGGCAGAACCCACCGAACCCCGCCAGGUCUGAGAAGAAGCAACGGUAAGGAGGUCCUUCUGGGCGCCGCCGGCAAACCUGCCCGGCGCACUUCUUUGAAGCGAGAGUCAUCCC
rnacentral:SRP_RNA from 1 species